CCCCGGUAAACGGCGGCCGUAACUAUAACGGUCCUAAGGUAGCGAAAUUCCUUGUCGGGUAAGUUCCGACCUGCACGAAUGGCGUAAUGAUGGCCAGGCUGUCUCCACCCGAGACUCAGUGAAAUUGAACUCGCUGUGAAGAUGCAGUGUACCCGCGGCAAGACGGAAAGACCCCGUGAACCUUUACUAUAGCUUGACACUGAACAUUGAGCCUUGAUGUGUAGGAUAGGUGGGAGGCUUUGAAGUGUGGACGCCAGUCUGCAUGGAGCCGACCUUGAAAUACCACCCUUUAAUGUUUGAUGUUCUAACGUGGACCCGUAAUCCGGGUUGCGGACAGUGUCUGGUGGGUAGUUUGACUGGGGCGGUCUCCUCCUAAAGAGUAACGGAGGAGCACGAAGGUUGGCUAAUCCUGGUCGGACAUCAGGAGGUUAGUGCAAUGGCAUAAGCCAGCUUGACUGCGAGCGUGACGGCGCGAGCAGGUGCGAAAGCAGGUCAUAGUGAUCCGGUGGUUCUGAAUGGAAGGGCCAUCGCUCAACGGAUAAAAGGUACUCCGGGGAUAACAGGCUGAUACCGCCCAAGAGUUCAUAUCGACGGCGGUGUUUGGCACCUCGAUGUCGGCUCAUCACAUCCUGGGGCUGAAGUAGGUCCCAAGGGUAUGGCUGUUCGCCAUUUAAAGUGGUACGCGAGCUGGGUUUAGAACGUCGUGAGACAGUUCGGUCCCUAUCUGCCGUGGGCGCUGGAGAACUGAGGGGGGCUGCUCCUAGUACGAGAGGACCGGAGUGGACGCAUCACUGGUGUUCGGGUUGUCAUGCCAAUGG
rnacentral:rRNA from 1 species